CCAAGAAGUCUAGCAUGUACGCGAGUCGUAGGGUCUCUCGAAACCUGAAGGCGCAAUGAAAGUGAAGGCUAUCUUUUUCGGUAGCUGAGGUGUGAUCCGGGCUUGACCGUCCGGCGCAACAUCGGCCCGUCUCAUUCCGCAUUGCCGGAGAGGCGGAGCUUGAGCGUACAUGCUGGGACCCGAAAGAUGGUGACCUAUGCCCGAGCAGGCUGAAGCCAGAGGAAACUCUGGUGGAAGGCCGUAGCGGUUCUGACGUGCAAAUCGAUCGUCGAACUUGGGCAUAGGGGCGAAAGACUAAUCGAACCAUCUA
rnacentral:rRNA from 1 species